GACUUAAUGAAAUUCAAUGAACUCCCAAAAUUGUCCUCAUUCUUUUAUGAGUUUUACACCAACAUAAGAUUUGUUCUGUCGAUCUCACUGCACUCUUCCUUCGCAAAAAUCCUUUCCUUCUCUCUGUGAUUGUCUCACCGAUUCUUCUCUCCCUUUACCAAUGGGUGAGACCGUUCGGGAUUCUGAUCGAUCUGGAUUCUAGUGAUUUACUGCUCAAUCUGACUCACAAAUUCGAUCUUACUUGCAACUAUCGGCGGGUCACCAUGUGGGCUGUACGCCUCUCAUCCUCCAGAUCCAGGUUUCACACAAAUCUCUCGAAUUUCGAUUGACCAAUAACCAGUGGGCAUGGGAAAUUGGGCAAUGCAAUUACCUCUUUACCUUAACCAAAGUUUUAUAUGAUUAUUUGGGAAACUGUAUAAUGUCCUAAAACUUUGGUAAGGAUGCUUGGGAAAGUUGUGUUCGUGCUGUUCUUGAUCAUUACCUCAACAGCUGCCAUAGGUGGAGGUGGAGGGGGAGGGGAGGGGAGGACGUGGUAGAGGUGGAGGUAGAGGAAGUGGAGGCGCCGAUGUGGUGGAGGGCGUGUAAGUGGCGAUGUAGGAUCGAGGUAGAGGUGGACGUGGACGUGGAGGCACUCUUGGUUCAGCAGCAACUGUGAUUUGUUACAUGACCUUGCAAUACUUGCUGUGAUCAAAUCCCCUUGGUUCAGCAAUCGCUGUGAUCAAAUCUCCAACUUACAGUUAGUUCUUGUUCGUAGAAGGUUUGCAGUAUCAAAGGAAGGGUUGAAGCCUUGGGGUGGAAGAGUCUUGAUGUUUAAAUUUUGAUGGGUUUAUCUGUAAAUUUUUAGUUUGGGUAGUUUGAUUCAUUUAAAAAUUCAGUAUAAAAUACACUACAUAAAUAUAGAGGUGCUAGUUGGCACCUUAUUUUUUUAA